GAUGAACGCUAGCUACAGGCUUAACACAUGCAAGUCGCGGGGCAGCAUGGGGGUUGCUUGCAAUCCCCGAUGGCGACCGGCGCACGGGUGAGUAACGCGUAUCCAACCUGCCCUUCACCACGGGAUAACCCGGCGAAAGUCGGACUAAUACCGUAUGUUGUCCAUUGACGGCAUCCGAUUUGGACGAAAGGCUUGGCGGUGAGGGAUGGGGAUGCGUCCGAUUAGCCAGACGGCGGGGUAACGGUCCACCGUGGCUACGAUCGGUAGGGGUUCUGAGAGGAAGGUCCCCCACACUGGAACUGAGACACGGUCCAGACUCCUACGGGAGGCAGCAGUGAGGAAUAUUGGUCAAUGGGCGUAAGCCUGAACCAGCCAAGUAGCGUGCAGGAUGACGGCCCUAUGGGUUGUAAACUGCUUUUAUGCGGGGAUAAAGUGGCCCACGUGUGGGCUUUUGCAGGUACCGCAUGAAUAAGGACCGGCUAAUUCCGUG
rnacentral:rRNA from 1 species